rnacentral:rRNA from 1 species
AGUGAACGCUGGCGGCGUGCCUAAUACAUGCAAGUCGAACGGAGAUUAAGUAGCUUGCUAUUUAAUCUUAGUGGCGCACGGGUGAGUAAUAUAUAGCUAACUUGCCCAUUACUAAGGGACAACAGUUGGAAACGACUGCUAAUACCUUAUACUCCGUAUCUAUAUAAGUAGAUACGGGAAAGUUUUUCGGUAAUGGAUAGGGCUAUAUCGUAUCAACUAGUUGGUAAGGUAAUGGCUUACCAAGGCUAUGACGCGUAACUGGUCUGAGAGGAUGAUCAGUCACACUGGAACUGAGACACGGUCCAGACUCCUACGGGAGGCAGCAGUAGGGAAUAUUGCUCAAUGGGGGAAACCCUGAAGCAGCAACGCCGCGUGGAGGAUGACACUUUUCGGAGCGUAAACUCCUUUUCUUGGGAAAGAAUUAUGACGGUACCCAAGGAAUAAGCACCGGCUAACUCCGUG